rnacentral:sRNA from 1 species
GACCGGCAUCCUCUGUACAGGAUACAGA